rnacentral:lncRNA from 1 species
CCCCACUUCAGUGGAAAGCCAGCGUUCCUCAGGCUAUGCAAACCCAGUGUUCAACAGCGACACAGUGUGGUCACCACUGGCGCAGCAGCUCCAGCGAGAGGCUCAACCAUUUUAGGACCCUCCCUCCACCUGCAGUUUGAAGGUUGCUGACCUCCCCCAUGGACCCAGAAUGCCCCCAGACUUCACGGACAAUAGGGAAGGUGAGGAUCUUCAAGAUGCAAUACUGGACUUUCUACAAAUAAAGACAACUGGGAUGUAAGUGAUUGUUUUUUUAAAUUUUCAAUGUGCUCAUAUGACAUUUUCUGAAUGUGUGCUCCCCCAAAAUUCACAUGUUUAAACUGUAAUCCCCGAGCUGAUGGCAUUAGGAAGUGGGGCCUUUGAGAGGUGAUAAGGUCAGGAGGGCAGAGCCCUCAUGAUGGGAUUAGUGCCCUCAUGAAAGAAACGCUGGAGAGCUGCCUCGCCC